rnacentral:rRNA from 1 species
GACGAACGCUGGCAGCGUGCUUAACACAUGCAAGUCGAACGGAAAGGCCCUGCUUUUGUGGGGUGCUCGAGUGGCGAACGGGUGAGUAACACGUGAGUAACCUGCCCUUGACUUUGGGAUAACUUCAGGAAACUGGGGCUAAUACCGGAUAGGAGCUCCUGCUGCAUGGUGGGGGUUGGAAAGUUUCGGCGGUUGGGGAUGGACUCGCGGCUUAUCAGCUUGUUGGUGGGGUAGUGGCUUACCAAGGCUUUGACGGGUAGCCGGCCUGAGAGGGUGACCGGCCACAUUGGGGCUGAGAUACGGCCCAGACUCCUACGAGAGGCAGCAGUGGGGAAUAUUGCACAAUGGGCGGAAGCCUGAUGCAGCAACGCCGCGUGCGGGAUGACGGCCUUCGGGUUGUAAACCGCUUUCGCCUGUGACGAAGCGUGAGUGACGGUAAUGGGUAAAGAAGCACCGGCUAACUACGUG